ACGACAGGGUAAUAUAUCAUAUGAAAAAUUUGAUAAAAAUAAGAAUCGUGAAUUAUAUGAUGUAAAUGUACAAGACCAUAGAGAUUCUUAUCGUGAUAAUAGUCAUUAUAGAAGAGUUGGUCGUUUGAAAUCACGUAAUCCUGUUGAUACAAAUAAAUAUACAGAUGAAUAUAUAUAUGAUGAAGACAUAAAUGGUUAUACAGUAUAUCCAAAUAAAAAUAAAAUAAAUUAUUAUGAUAAUAAAGUACAUAAUCCUGAUAAUAUUAACGACGAUCCUUAUGACCAUGGAGAAUACAGUUAUAAUGAUCGUGAAAAAAGUAUAAUGUAUAAACAUAACAGUAGUAAUAUUAACAAUAAUGCACUUUAUCUUCGAAAUAAAAAUGAAAAUGAUAGUAAUUACCCUUCAGGUAUAACAAGAAAAAGUGAAAAAACAAAUGAGCAUAUGUAUAUGCACGGUGCAGGUAAAAUAAGAUCAAACAUUAGAAAAACGUCAAGUGGUAAUAAAGUCGNNNNNNNNNNNNNNNNNNNNNNNNNNNNNNNNNNNNNNNNNNNNNNNNNNNNNNNNNNNNNNNNNNNNNNNNNNNNNNNNNNNNNNNNNNNNNNNNNNNNCUAUAGAUAAUAUGAAUAAUAAUUAUGACCGUAUGAGUUAUGCAUAUAAUAACAAUAUGAACGCUCGUGGCAAUGAUAUAAACACUUAUGAUAAUGAUGUCUAUUUUGAUAGUGGAUACGAUAUGAAUACACACUCUGGUAAUAAGAACAAAAUGCAUGGGACUAGUACAAACGUAAAUAAACAAUACAGUUUGAAUAAGUCAUAUGUUAAUACAGAAAAAGGACUUGAACCUAUAGAAGGAAAUGAUAGAAUGUAUAGAGAUAGUUAUAAAAAGAAUAAUACCAGUAACAAUAAUAAUACUGCAUAUUAUGAGUGUGAUAAUAUACAGCAAGAAUAUGAUAACUUACCUGAAGAAAAAAGAGAAGAAAUAAAAAUUACAACAGAUGUUAAUAAUACAGUUCAUGUAAAUGCACAACAAAAAAGUGAUAUGUUCAAAGAUAAUGUCAUAAAUAAUAAUAUUACAAAUGGUGAUAAUACUACUGCAUUCGUGUCUGGAACGAACGAAUUGAACUCGGUAAGUGAUGUGACUAAAGUUGACGUGGACCAAUCACAGAUACCGACUGUUUCGGUACCAACCGUUCCAGUACCAACCUUUCCAGUGCCAACCGUUCAAGUACCAAUCGUUCCAGUACCAACCGUUCCAGUACCAACCGUUCCAGUACCAACCGUUCCAGUGCCAACCGUUCCAGUACCAACCGUUCCAGUACCAACCGUUCCAGUGCCAACAGUUCCAGUACCAACCGUUCCAGUGCCAACAGUUUCACUACCGACUGCUCCAGUAUCAGAAACAUCAGGAGGAACAGUAACAGAAACAGUAGCAGUACCUGUAAAAAGAAAAAGAGGAAGACCUAAAUUAAAAAAAACACCUACCGAAGAACAACAACAAAAAGAAAACCAAGCAGUAAAUAUGGUCGUACAACCUAACAGUACACCUGUACAACCAGCUAAUCUGAACAAUAUAAAUGGUAAUAUAGUAAACGAUAUAAAUCAGACUAUGUAUAAUAACAUAAAUCCAUUAACAAAUAACACUUACAAUAAUAACUUAUCACAAAAUAUGAAUGCACCAAUAAAUGUUCCAGUUGAACAUAUGUCAGUACAACAACUUCCAGUACAACAGUUACAAGUACAACAGUUGCCAUUACAAAUGCCAGUACAACAACAAGGGCAACUAACAAAUCAACAACAACUUUUAAAUUACCAACAAAGCGGAAAUAAACCACCUGUAACAAAUCAGACUUUAACAGAUACACUAAUUCAACAACUUAAUCAGCCACUGGCACAACAGUUAGGACCACCAUUAGACCAACACAUAAAUCAACAUAUGGUAGGCCAUCACCCAAUGAACCAACAUAUCGUUAAUCAUCAUCCGGUCAACCAACAAAUGGGAAUUCCGAUAAAUCAACAAAUGAAUCAACAAAUG
rnacentral:lncRNA from 1 species